UACGUAGGGCGCAAGCGUUGUCCGGAAUUAUUGGGCGUAAAGAGCUCGUAGGCGGCUUGUUGCGUCGGUUGUGAAAGCCCGGGGCUUAACCCCGGGUCUGCAGUCGAUACGGGCAGGCUAGAGUGUGGUAGGGGAGAUCGGAAUUCCUGGUGUAGCGGUGAAAUGCGCAGAUAUCAGGAGGAACACCGGUGGCGAAGGCGGGAUCCUGGGCCAGUACUGACGCUGAGGAGCGAAAGCGUGGGGAGCAAACAGG
rnacentral:rRNA from 1 species